GUGACCCUCCGCUGUCCUCUCCGCAGCUGGGAUGAGUGGGUCCCGGAGAGCCGCGUGCUCAAGUACGUGGACACCAACCUGCAGAAGCAGCGGGAGCUGCAGAAAGCCAACCAGGAGCAGUAUGCGGAGGGCAAGCUGCGCGGGGCCGCCCCCGGGAAGAAGACGUCCAGUCUGCAGCAGAAAAGCGUGGACGUG